rnacentral:rRNA from 1 species
GAUGAACGCUGGCGGCGUGCCUAAUACAUGCAAGUCGAGCGAACGGACGAGAAGCUUGCUUCUCUGAUGUUAGCGGCGGACGGGUGAGUAAAACGUGGAUAACCUACCUAUAAGACUGGGAUAACUUCGGGAAACCGGAGCUAAUACCGGAUAAUAUUUUGAACCGCAUGGUUCAAAAGUGAAAGACGGUUUUGCUGUCACUUUUAGAUGGAUCCGCGCUGCAUUAGCUAGUUGGUAAGGUAACGGCUUACCAAGGCAACGAUGCAUAGCCGACCUGAGAGGGUGAUCGGCCACACUGGAACUGAGACACGGUCCAGACUCCUACGGGAGGCAGCAGUAGGGAAUCUUCCGCAAUGGGCGAAAGCCUGACGGAGCAACGCCGCGUGAGUGAUGAAGGUCUUCGGAUCGUAAAACUCUGUUAUUAGGGAAGAACAUAUGUGUAAGUAACUGUGCACAUCUUGACGGUACCUAAUCAGAAAGCCACGGCUAACUACGUG